rnacentral:rRNA from 1 species
AGAGUUUGAUCCUGGCUCAGGGUGAACGCUGGCGGCAGGCUUAACACAUGCAAGUCGAACGCACCUUCGGGUGAGUGGCAGACGGGUGAGUAACGCGUGGGAACGUGCCCUUCAGUUCGGAAUAACCCAGGGAAACUUGGGCUAAUACCGGAUACGUGCGAGAGCAGAAAGAUUUAUCACUGAAGGAUCGGCCCGCGUCUGAUUAGCUAGUUGGUGGGGUAACGGCCCACCAAGGCGACGAUGCGUAGCCGACCUGAGAGGGUGAUCGGCCACACUGGGACUGAGACACGGCCCAGACUCCUACGGGAGGCAGCAGUAGGGAAUCUUCCGCAAUGGACGCAAGUCUGACGGAGCAAUGCCGCGUGAGUGACGAAGGUUUUCGGAUCGUAAAACUCUGUUGCGAGGGAAGAAACCGUACCAGCUAACUACUGGUACCUUGACGGUACCUCGCCAGAAAGCCACGGCUAACUACGUGCCAGCAGCCGCGGUAAUACGUAGGUGGCAAGCGUUGUCCGGAAUUAUUGGGCGUAAAGCGCGCGCAGGCGGUCCCUUAAGUCUGAUGUGAAAGCCCACGGCUCAACCGUGGAGGGUCAUUGGAAACUGGGGGACUUGAGUGCAGAAGAGGAAAGUGGAAUUCCACGUGUAGCGGUGAAAUGCGUAGAGAUGUGGAGGAACACCAGUGGCGAAGGCGACUUUCUGGUCUGUAACUGACGCUGAGGCGCGAAAGCGUGGGGAGCAAACAGGAUUAGAUACCCCCGUAGUCC